UCGCGUCCGCCCGCCGGGAGCCGCGGGGCGCGCAGCCUUCCUGAUGUGUCACCAGCACGUGGAGCUAGCUAGGGCUGAGCGAGCGGGCGGAACUCCCCCAACUUUCGAGGGGUCUCGCCGCCCAGCUCCUCUCCCCGCAGCGCCGGGCUCGUGCUCUUUGGGGAGGGGGCGGCAGCGGCCCCCGGGUCCCGGCAUGUUGAGCGAGGCCCCGGCCCCUGGCCCGGCGCGCGCGGGACAGCGGGACGUCGGGGCAUAGGGUCCGGCCGCAGCUACUUCCCCGUUGGCGGAGGCGAUCCCGGCUCUGCGGUGCGGGAGGGCGCGGCCUGCGGUGGGAGGUGCCCUGCCGGCGGCUCGGCCCCAGCCCCGCGGAUCAGAGCGCAGGUGCAGACUCAACAAGCUCUGGUCACCGGAGAAGAUGGCUGUUUGCAGGACCCUGACCACAAGACUAUCCUUCUGGGCAGCCUGGCCCCUUGCUUCUUAGGCUCUGGUCAUCUCUCCACACCAGCUGUCCCAGAGGCCACUUUAGACGGCUGGGUUUGCUCAGGAGCCUCAGCGUUCUCUGUCCAGGAGAAGGGACAGUGUCAAGGAGUACUCCAGCAGAGAACCCUGGGAGGUGUCUAGCAUGGAGAAGAUGCUCUCUUAAUGAUCACCUCUCACCCCCUUCAGCUUUAGAGGCAGGCACGGAUCCCAGGAUGGACACGGAGACCGCCCCUUGGGGGUUUUGCAGCAACUAUGGGGAAAGAGGCAUUUGUUGUUUGUGCAAUUUGCCAGGUUGAUGGAAUGGCUGGUCACCAUCCUGUUCUCUACUUGAGGUUGAAGCCAACAAAGAAGAAAAAGCUCAGAGAUGGAGAGAAUAGGCUAUCUGGAUAUCAGUGAGCCCCUGGAUCCAGCCAUGCCUGAAGCUAACCACACCUCUGGAUUAACCUGAUUAUAUGAGCCAAUGCAUGUCUCUUGCUCAAAUCAUCCUGAGUUGGGUUUCUGUCUUAGAAAGGGUCCUGAUAAAUCAGUUCUGAGGUAUACUUGACAUGCCAUAAAACCUACCCAUUUUGUUUACCGCCAUUGAGAUAGAGAACAUUUCAAGCUCUGGGACCACCCCUGAUCUGCCUUGGUUAUGGAGAUUGAUUUUGUCUUUUCUAGAAAUUCCUAUAAAUAUGAUCGUUUAGUGUGUACUCUUUUGCGUCUGGCUUCAUUCCGCAUGUCUUUGAGAUUCACCCAUGCUGUGUGCCUUAGUAGUUCAUGCCUUACUUCUGAGAAGCCUUCCACCGUGGGGAUGUACGAGUUUGUGCAGCCAUUUAUAAGAUGGUGGAUAGUCAGGCUGUUCCCAGAUUGUGACUAUUAUGAAUAAAACUGUUUUUGAACACUGAA